rnacentral:lncRNA from 1 species
CAUUUGGCUUUGCUAGGAUUAUUGGAAUUUCUCUUUGCGAGUGCUUCACUAACAACUUCAAGCAAGCAGCAAACUGUGGUAUCAUUUCAGCUUCUUUUACCAGCAUCAGUUAACCUCUUCUGUCAUUGAACCAAAGCUUAUGACUCAAACUGGACACCUUGUGCCUUUUCUUUGCUCUUGUUAUUUCUUACCCAGGAAGAUCUGCUCAUUUCCCUGAGGGUGGCCUUAUUUUCUGUUUCGCAUCUACUGUCAUGGCCUCUAAUUUAGAGCAGGCACCCCUUAGCUAGGGUGAUGCUAAAUAUGGUUUCUCAGAUACAGCCAGCUGGCUAACAGUUUACUGCGGAGAGUGUAUCUAAGACAUGCAUCCAAAUCCAUCCCCACCCUCCUUACAUUUUUCUUCUCCUUCCUUCCCUCUUUUCUGCCCUAGGAUGCCACAGUACAAUGCAGUGUAAUAAAAUAUAAUUACAGUGCUUCAUAAAGCAAUCCAAUUAUGAGGUCAAGUUUUUUUCCCCCAUGUGUCUUUUUUGACCAGGAAGCACGUGAAAGACCAGUAGCACAAUAGCACCUAUACGUGAAACAUCCUGCACCCAGGAACCCACUUUGAGCUUUGUCCUCCUACAGUUUUCUCUGAAAAAUAAAAACGAGACUCUCAGAAGACCUACCUCUAAAAAUUGUCAUCCUGGUUGCUACAUUCCAGCCUGGUACCAAGUGCAAGAGAAAAGCAAAAACCCACAGUUAAAAGUGAAGCCCUUGGUAUAAAUUCAUCUUAGGUGCCAAGUGUUUGGCAUUGCAGCCAGUCACUGGGGAAAAGGAAGCCGAGUGAGAGCAGCAGUUUCAAAUACAUCUCCGAUG